UACAGAGGUGGCAAGCGUUGUUCGGAAUUACUGGGCGUAAAGGGCGCGUAGGCGGCUCGACAAGUCCCGCGUGAAAGCCCCCGGCUCAACUGGGGAACUGCGCGGGAAACUGUCGGACUUGAGUUCGGGAGAGGGAAGCGGAAUUCCGGGUGUAGCGGUGAAAUGCGUAGAUAUCCGGAGGAACACCGGUGGCGAAAGCGGCGCACUGGACCACAUCUGACGCUGAGGCGCGAAAGCUAGGGGAGCAAACGGG
rnacentral:rRNA from 1 species